rnacentral:rRNA from 1 species
GUCGAACGCUCUGGUAUCGGCAACGGUCCAGGGAGUGGCGGACGGGUGAGUAACACGUGGAUUAUCUGCCCCCGGGUGAGGAAUACCGGCGAGAAAUCGCCAUCAAUACCGCAUAAGGUUCCCUCACGGGAAGCAAAGCUCCGCAAAGGAGCGCCCGGGGAAGGGUCUGCGUCCGAUUAGCUAGCUGGUGAGGUCAUGGCUCACCAGGGCGACCAUCGGUAGCUGGUCUGAGAGGACGACCAGCCACACUGGGAUUGAGAACGGCCCAGACUCCUACGGGGGGCAGCAGUGAGGAAUUUUCGGCAAUGGGGGCAACCCUGACCGAGCAACGCCGCGUGCAGGAAGAAGGCUCUCGGGUUGUAAACUGCUUUACUGCGGGACGAGCAAGGACGGUACCGCAGGAACAAGCCCCGGCUAACUACGUGCCAGCAGCCGCGGUAAGACGUAGGGGGCAAGCGUUGUCCGGAGUUACUGGGCGUAAAGGGCGUGCAGGCGGUCCAUCGCGUUCCCGCUGACAGGGGUCGGCUUAACCGGC